rnacentral:tRNA from 1 species
GUGCCCGUAGCUCAGUUGGAUAGAGCACCAGGCUCCGGACCUGGGGGUCGGGGGUUCAAGUCCCCCCGGGCACG